CUGGUUCAUUUUAGUCCUUUUGUUGAUUUUACUUUUGGUUUCACUUUACGUUUUUUUCAAAUUACCAAUUUUAGUCCAAUUUUAUUUUUUAAUUGCAUUUUAGUCCCUAAACAGUUUAUAAAUUGCAUUUUAGUCCGCUUUUUCUUAUUUGCUGUUUGGUCCUUCAAUUUUCCUAUUUUACAGAUAAGUCCUUAAGGUCAAAAGUCCAAGGCAGAGCCAAGCAAGGUCCAAUUCCAGGUGGCAUUAUCCCAUUGGUCCAGGAAUACACAUGUCAGCUAUAAAUACAAACACAAUGUCAGAAAUUUCCAGAACCCACACAAUCAUUGACACAUCACCAAAAACGAGUCUCAACUUUCUCUCUCCAUUCAGUUAGAUCAAAAACAGAAAAUCACAGAGAAAUCACCAAGAACAUUC
rnacentral:lncRNA from 1 species